GACGAACGCUGGCGGCGUGCUUAACACAUGCAAGUCGUACGGUAAGGCCCUUUCGGGGGUACACGAGUGGCGAACGGGUGAGUAACACGUGAGUAACCUGCCCACAACUUUGGGAUAACGCUAGGAAACUGGUGCUAAUACUGGAUAUGUGCUCCUGCUGCAUGGUGGGGGUUGGAAAGCUCCGGCGGUUGUGGAUGGACUCGCGGCCUAUCAGCUUGUUGGUGGGGUAGUGGCCUACCAAGGCGGCGACGGGUAGCCGGCCUGAGAGGGUGACCGGCCACAUUGGGACUGAGGUACGGCCCAGACUCCUACGGGAGGCAGCAGUGGGGAAUAUUGCACAAUGGGCGCAAGCCUGAUGCAGCAACGCCGCGUGCGGGAUGACGGCCUUCGGGUUGUAAACCGCAUUCAGCAGGGACGAAGCUUUUUGUGACGGUACCUGCAGAAGAAGCACCGGCUAACUACGUG
rnacentral:rRNA from 1 species